CACUUUUCGACACAUGGGAUGAAGAAUAGCAUGAUGCCACUGAUUGCAAUCAUAGAGCCUGAUACAUAGAAUCCUGGGUCAUAAGAGCCAGUAUAAUCAUAAAGCCAACCUGAAAACAAUAAUAAAAGGAAAUAAAGUCCAAAUUUUGUCACUCAGCAUUCAACUUCAUAAAAUCUGAUCGAGUUUGAGUUUUUGGCAACUGGUAUAAAUGACAACUGUAUAUUCAAGGGUGGUCUAUCUAUGAGUUUGCUACAUAAGAAGAAUAUAUUUAAGAAAGUUUUAACCAGGAUUUAGUGAGAUUCUGGGAUUCAAAGGUAGUCUCAGAGGGAUUUCUUCAGAAGUAAAAGCAAGGCAAGUGGUUUCUGUGCUGUCUAGUUCAGUAUUAAAAGAACUGUAUCCUAUCACUGCCAAAUUUUACGAAACUAAGUUAAAAGGUUAAGAAAUUUAAGAUUCUGUACCAAUUUUACAUCACUAUAAUGAUCGUUUUGUUGUAAAAUAUGAAUGUAAGGUAACUCAAUCAAACUUUUUACAAUAAUAAUUGAAAUAUUGUCAUUAAAAUGAGAAGGAAAUGAAAAAUGUACUUUUUCAAGUUGAGGUUUGUAAUGUUUUCUAGGUCAUCCACAACUUUUCUGCAUAAUUUUAAAAAUUACCGCUUCCUUGUUGCAUAAUUUAUAGGACCCUUACAAGCUAUAUAAUGUAAGAAUAUUCUAAUUUAGAGUCUUAUUAUAAAACAAAAUAGUUAUCUCACCUACGCAGAAAGUUGUUCCAACCAUAAUCGAUGCCACCCAAGAUGUUGCUUGAUUACUUUCACCAAAGUAUUUUAGAAAUUCUACAUGGAAAAUACCGAAUGUGUAGGUAACGCCAUCUACUAUAACGUGAAUCAUGAAAGAACAAAAUACUAUCACCCAUCCCCAUCCGCCGUCAGGUGGCUCUGGCAUCGAGACUUCCACUUCCUCCUCUUCCUCUUCUUCCAUGUGUUGAUGAUUGUUAACUUCUCGUGAAUUGGCAACAGAAACAUUGUAGUCUUUCUUAGUUGCAGUCAUUAGUAGUAUGUAAAGAAGUGAGACAAGGCUUGGUUGAUAUCAUAAGUUGAGCAUGUGUUGCGAAACUGGAAAAAAUCAAUUGACAUAAGUAAUAAAACAAGGAUAUAUUUAUUUUCAGAAGUAAUUUGUAUUCUCUAUUAAGACAAAUUCGCCUUUGCGAAAAACUUUUUGAUUGAAAGUAACUUGCGCUUGCAAUACAGAAAAACUUCCCAAUGUAAGCCUACCUAACGUCAAUAAAUUUUAUACUGUUUUUUCUUUUUA